GAUGAACGCUGGCGGCGUGCCUAAUACAUGCAAGUCGAACGGAGACAUUAUAGCAAUAUGAUGUCUUAGUGGCGAACGGGUGAGUAACGCGUUGGUGACCUGCCCCGAAGAGGGGGAUAACAGCUCGAAAGAGCUGCUAAUACCCCAUGUGGUCGUAGAGGUUAGAGGCUUUAUGACUAAAGGAGCAAUCCGCUUCGGGAGGGGCCUGCGUCCCAUCAGCUAGUUGGUAGGGUAACGGCCUACCAAGGCGACGACGGGUAGGGGACCUUAGAGGGUGACCCCCCACACUGGCACUGAAACACGGGCCAGACACCUACGGGUGGCAGCAGUAGGGAAUAUUGCACAAUGGGCGAAAGCCUGAUGCAGCAACGCCGCGUGCGCGAUGAAGGCCUUCGGGUCGUAAAGCGCUUUUUGGGGAGAUGAGGAAGGACAGUAUCCCCAGAAUAAGGUUCGGCUAACUACGUGCCAGCCGCCGCAGUAACAC
rnacentral:rRNA from 1 species